UGGGGAAUCUUGCGCAAUGGGCGAAAGCCUGACGCAGCAACGCCGCGUGUGUGAUGAAGGUCUUCGGAUCGUAAAGCACUGUCGCGAGGGACGAAUAAGGGGCGGGCUAACAUCCCGUUUCGAUGACGGUACCUCGAGAGGAACCACCGGCUAACUGUGUG
rnacentral:rRNA from 1 species